rnacentral:ncRNA from 1 species
UAAAAUGCAGUGAAGAGGAAGAGUAAUUAAUCACUCGAAUCAUAGAGAGCCCAUGCUGGUGAGAUUGGGCAUUCGAGCUUAAUGAAAGAAGCCUUGGAGCAGUUGACUGAAAAAUCGGAGUAAGUCAACCGGGAAAUCCCGUUAAGGAAAUGUGCAGUAAAGUAAUUAUGAGCUGCAUAAUGAGCGGGUUUUAACCAAUUUAGGUGGUAACGCGGAAGUAUGCCUUUCGUCCUUAGC